UCCUCUGGUCAGCCCUGAGUGACAAUUAUGCCCUUGUCUCUGUCGGGUAUUCCACUGAUGUAGGUUAGUCCCAGCCAGUCCUUAAUGACCCAUUCAUAUCAUCCCAUGACAGCUAUGUAAUGAAACCACUCAUAUCUCUUGCUCUUUCUAAUCAUAGCAAUUCCAAUCAGAGCAGGAAACUGAGGUAUGUAUUGGCAUCAUACAAGUAUCACCAAAAUUCCCGCCUC